rnacentral:rRNA from 1 species
GACGGAGGGGGCUAGCGUUGUUCGGAAUUACUGGGCGUAAAGAGUGCGUAGGCGGUUUAGUAAGUUGGAAGUGAAAGCCCGGGGCUUAACCUCAGAAUUGCUUUCAAAACUACUAAUCUAGAGUGUAGUAGGGGGUGAUGGAAUUCCUAGUGUAGAGGUGAAAUUCUUAGAUAUUAGGAGGAACACCGGUGGCGAAGGCGGUCAUCUGGGCUACAACUGACGCUGAUGCACGAAAGCGUGGGGAGCAAACAGG